rnacentral:tRNA from 1 species
UUUAAUGAGGUGUGUUGCAUGUUACAUUUUGGUUGUAAAGGAGACUAGUUGUCCGUUAAUU